rnacentral:rRNA from 1 species
CCUACGGGAGGCAGCAGUGGGGGAUAUUGCACAAUGGGGGAAACCCUGAUGCAGCGACGCCGCGUGUGGGAAGACGGUCCUCUGGAUUGUAAACCACUGUCCCCAGGGACGAAGAUGACGGUACCUGGGGAGGAAGCUCCGGCUAACUACGUGCCAGCAGCCGCGGUAAUACGUAGGGAGCGAGCGUUGUCCGGAAUUACUGGGUGUAAAGGGAGCGUAGGCGGGGAUGCAAGUUGGGUGUCAAAACUACCGGCUCAACUGGUAGUCGCACUCAAAACUGCAGCUCUUGAGUGAAGUAGAGGCAGGCGGAAUUCCUAGUGUAGCGGUGAAAUGCGUAGAUAUUAGGAGGAACACCAGUGGCGAAGGCAGCUUACUAAACUGCCACUGACAUUGAUGCUCGAAAGUGUGGGUAUCAAACAGGAUUAGAUACCCCGGUAGUC